rnacentral:tRNA from 1 species
GCAAGUAUAGUUUAAAAAAAACAUUAGCCUGUGAUCCUAAAGACAGAAGUUUAACCCUUCUUACCUGCC